GUUUGUUUUCUCCUUCUGGCAUAGUGUUCCCAUGAUUGAACUCAGUUGCAAGGCUUGGCAGCAGGUGCUCUUCGUCCAGAGCUAUUUAAGCUCAAGAAAGUUAAAAAAAAAAAAACAAAUAUGCAAACGCAGAAAAAUAAAUUUAUUUUUCUUUUUAAAAUAAUAUUUAACAAAGCAAACAAAAUGAACAAAAUAUAGAAACUUUUCCUUGGCCUGCUUGGAGGGUAAGAUCAAGGGAACUAAUCUCAUUAUAUGCAAGUUUUAGUGAUCUGUCUUAACUACUUUACUCUUAUGAAAGUAGAAGGAAUUGCUGAACAUUUUCUACAUUUUCUGUUGUCUCACAAGACUAUCUUGGAAGUAAAGCCUGUCAGCUGCUGACUUCAGCAUGUGCAUAGACAAUUUUGAUGGCUAAUUUUAUAUGUCACCUUCUUUGAAUCAGAGAAUCCCUAGAUAGCUGACAAAAUAUUAUUUCAUGUAUAUUUUGUAUUUGGGGAGUGUUUCUGUAAUAGAGAAAUAUUUGAAUCAGUAAAUUGAAUAAUGAAAACAGACCUUUUGUGUAUGAGUUAGCACUAUCAAAUCUAUAGUAAACAGAGGUAGAAGAAGGAUGAAUUUGUUCUUUGCUUGAGCUGGGAUAUCCAUCCUCUCUUAUCCUUAGAUAGCAGACGCUUAGGAUAUUAGAUACUCCGACUCAGACAUGGACCUUCAUGUUUGGAUUACACCUAUGUCACAAAUUGUCUUAAAACUGUAUUUUGAUGGCAUAUAAUAGCAUUUAUUAGCUCCUGUAACUUUACAGUCCGAUACCUCAUACACUCCUACAUCUUUGCAUAUCUUGCAGUUUGAUUAUCUGAGAAACUCUAAUAUACAUGUCAUCAAAGUUUGUGGUUGAUGAAAUAUUGUUCACUUAAUAAAAGGUAUCAAUAUUUGAGUCUUAGAAAUGUCUCAAAAAGAUGGAAUUGAGAGUGAGAUAUGUUUAGGGACCUGAUUUAUAGUUGAUAAUUUAAUGCCAGAUCAUGAUUUAAGAUUGAAAUAGUAUAUAUUAACACUUUGAACUUGGUGGCAAAUGAGGGAUAGAUUUUUCAAUUAAUGCUUGACAAAUAUCACUGACAUGAAAAACCCACUUGUACCCAUUCUCAUGGGUCCCUUGCUCUAAUGAGGACUAUUCAAGAGUUUUUUUUUAUUAAAAUGUCUGGAUUUUUAGGAUGUCACUAGGAUGAUCAAAAUUAUAUAUAAUUCCCCUUUGUUGGUAAGACUUUCCUGUAAUGGCAAAGUUAAAUUCUUAGUACAAUUAAAACUAAAAAUUAAAAAUGCUACCAUGGAUAGUUUUAAUUUUGUGGUUGCAAAAUUGAUGACAGGAAACUCUAGCAUAAAAUAAGAUGGCAUGAGCACACUCUAUCCCAUCUCUCCUACUUAAUACAGACAUAACCUUUCUAACCUACUGAGGACAUUGAAAAGCAAAUAGUAGAAUAUUGAAGAGGAAAACUCAAAUGAAAAUACAUGAAACUCAAGAACGAAGACCAAAGUGUGGACACUUUGCCCCUUCUUAGAAUUGGAAACAAUCACCCAUGAAAAGAGUUACAGAGACAAAGUUUGGAGCUGAGACAAAAGGAUGGACCAUCUAGAGACUGACAUAUCCAGGGAUCCAUCCCAUAAUUAGCCUCCAAACGAUGAUACCAUUGCAUACACUAGCAAGAUUUUGCUGAAAGGACCCAGAUAUAGCUGUCUCUUGUGAGACUAUGCCAGGGCCUAGCAAACACAGAAGUGGAUGCUCACAGCUAUUGGAUGGAUCACAGGGCCCCCAAUGGAGGAGCUAGAGAAAGUAUCCAAGGAGCUAAAGGGAUCUGCAACCCUAUAGGUGGAACAACAUUAUGAACUAACCAGAACCCCGGAGCUCUUGACUCUAGCUGCAUAUGUAUCAAAAGAUGGCCUAGUCGGCCAUCACUGGAAAGAGAGGCCAAUUGGACAUGCAAACUUUAUAUGCCCCUGUACAGGGGAACGCCAGGGCCAAAAAGUGGGAGUGGGUGUGAGGUUAGUGGGUGUGGGGACUUUUGGGAUAGCAUUGGAAAUGUAAAUGAGGAAAAUACCCAAUAAUAAUAAUAUAUAUAUAUAUAAAGAAAAUACCACAAACUGGUGUUAACUCUGCCAUUUUUACCUCUGACACCAGUCUCCAUUUAUGAGCACAUUAUAACCCAGAACUAAAGCUGGACUUCAGAAACCUAGUUUUUAUUUAGAAAGCAGUAAACUAAAUGAGAAAAAAAAAACAUGGAAAGAAAGUAGUGAAAUUUACCAUUUCAGUUGUUUUUUCCUCAUUCUUUUUUAAUUCUUACCACCUUAGGAAGAGAAAGGUAGUGGUGGUGCUGAUGACAGUGGUAGUAGCAGAGCAGCAGACACCUAAAUUCUGAGAAAGAAAGCUCUCACUUAUUCUAAAGGGGCUCUGUACUGGCUGGUUUUGUGUAUCAACUUGACACAGCUGGAGUUAUCACAG
rnacentral:lncRNA from 1 species